rnacentral:lncRNA from 1 species
AAUGGAUCCUCAUGCAAAGGAGGACACACCGACACACACACAAUGCUGUGAUAAUAACACUGUAUCCGCCUGGGUUGUUGAGGUAACAACCACACAAGUUUAUUGUGAUCCAGCUUGGAAAUCCUGUAUCUUUCGGGCAUCAUUUUUCUCCUGAAAACUGAUGGCCCUAACAUCAGAGACGAUGACAGAGAUAUGUCUAGACCUGGACUGCUUCGACGAGGAGAGGAAACUGUACUCGGCAGAAUCACUGAAUGACCUCCACAAGAUGAACGUGUGCUCUGACCCCAAGGACCUGCUGAAACUCACAGAACAGCCAAUGAGCUCUCAGACCACACCCACUGCUGGGGAAAGAAGAGACUGCCUGGGUGGUGUGAUGCAGCUGGUAAAUGUACACAGUGCUGUUGGCAUCGAAGAGGAGCGCAUCAAGACUCGACACACCAGUGAUGUAGAGGAGGGCAGUAAAACAUCACACACUCACCCUCGACCCAGACUGUUCCUCAUCCUCUUCAUCCUCCUGACUUUGGCUCUGCUGCUGAUCCUGGUGCUGUCUGCCUACGCUGUCUUUCUCAUGGUUGAGACAACAUCUAGGAUGGGUGAGUUAGCAGGCGUUAGUGAGGUGGAGAGGACUUACCUGGAGGAGAUGAGACAGUGGAAGACUCUCCUUCAACAGUACCUGGACCUCAGCCAGAACCACUGCUCAUAGUGAGAUACAGGAGGCCAGGGUGAAUUGGAAGACACCUGUGAGUGAGCAGCACGAGCCAGCUAGCGCUCUGGCAGUGGAGCCAACGCCUCAGCGGGAACCCAACUUUAUCUCCUCUUUAGAAACAUUGCCUAGGAGCCCAAAACACAGCCACUCUGACAGGAAGGGAGAGAUAAAGGGCCAAUACUGGAGUUUACCUAUAUCAUGUGCUGAACACCCUUUCAUUCCCUUAAUAUGCUGGUGAGUGAGAAUAUUCUGUACCCUUUCGUAGCCUUCUUACACUGGUUAAUAAAAACAUUAUUA